GCUCAUUAAAUCAGUUAUGAUCUACGUGACAAAUUCUUUACUACUUGGAUAACCGUGGUAAUUCUAGAGCUAAUACAUGCAAAAAAGCCCUGACUCACGAAGGGGUGCACUUAUUAGAUAAAACCAACGCGGGGUAAAACCUGUUUCUUGGUGAAUCAUAAUAAUUAAGCGGAUCGCAUGGCCUUGAGCCGGCGACGGUCCACUCGAUUUUCUGCCCUAUCAUGGUUGAGAUUGUAAGAUAGAGGCUUACAAUGCCUAUAACGGGUAACGGGGAAUUAGGGUUCGAUUCCGGAGAGGGAGCCUGAGAAACGGCUACCACAUCCAAGGAAGGCAGCAGGCGCGCAAAUUACCCAAUCCCGACACGGGGAGGUAGUGACAAUACAUAACAAUGCAGGGCCUUUAAGGUCUUGCAAUUGGAAUGAGUACAAUUUAAAUCCCUUAACGAGGAUCAAUUGGAGGGCAAGUCUGGUGCCAGCAGCCGCGGUAAUUCCAGCUCCAAUAGCGUAUAUUAAAGUUGUUGCAGUUAAAACGUCCGUAGUCAAACUUUAGUCUUACCGGCGCGGUGGCCUGGUCUUCAUUGACCAAGCUCGCUGUCGCUGGAGACUCCACGUCCGCUGGCUCCUAGUCCUCGUGGCUAGGGUUUUGUGGACAAUUACCAUGAGCAAAUCAGAGUGUUUAAAGCAGGCUUUUAAGCUUGAAUGUGUUAGCAUGGAAUAAUGAAAUAUGACUUUAGUCCUAUUUUCGUUGGUUUAGGUACUAUAGUAAUGAUUAAUAGAAACGGUUGGGGGCAUUUGUAUUUGGCCGCUAGAGGUGAAAUUCUUGGAUUGGCCGAAGACAAACUACUGCGAAAGCAUUUGACCCAGGACGUUUUCAUUGAUCAAGGUCUAAAGUUAAGGGAUCGAAGACGAUUAGAUACCGUCGUAGUCUUAACCACAAACUAUGCCGACUAGAGAUUGGGCGUGUUUCUUAUGACUCGCUCAGCAUCUUAGCGAAAGUAAAGUUUUUGGGUUCUGGGGGGAGUAUGGGACGCAAGGCU
rnacentral:rRNA from 1 species